rnacentral:rRNA from 1 species
GAUGAACGCUAGCGGCAGGCUUAAUACAUGCAAGUCGUGGGGCAGCGCAGGUAGCAAUACUGGGCGGCGACCGGCAAACGGGUGCGGAACACGUACACAACCUUCCGAGAAGUGGGGAAUAGCCCAGAGAAAUUUGGAUUAAUACCCCGUAACAUAACGAUGUGGCAUCACAUUGUUAUUAUAGCUUCGGCGCUUCUUGAUGGGUGUGCGGCUGAUUAGAUAGUUGGCGGGGUAACGCCCACCAAGUCUACGAUCAGUAGCUGAUGUGAGAGCAUGAUCAGCCACACGGGCACUGAGACACGGGCCCGACUCCUACGGGAGGCAGCAGUAAGGAAUAUUGGCAAUGGACGCAAGUCUGACCAGCCAUGCCGCGUGAAGGAUUAAGGUCCUCUGGAUUGUAAACUUCUUUAUCUGGGACGAAAAAGGCGAUUCUUCGUCACUUGACGGUACCAGAUGGAUAAGCACCGG